rnacentral:misc_RNA from 1 species
GAUGAAGAACGUAGCGAAAUGCGAUAUUUGGUGUGAAUUGCAGAAUCCCGUGAACCAUCGAGUCUUUGAACGCAAGUUGCGCCUCAAGCCAUUAGGUUGAGGGCACGUCUGCCUGGGCGUCACAUAUCGUUGCCUGAUGCCAGUUUCCUCGUGAUGGGUGACUGUGCAGGGCGAAUGAUGGCUUCCCGUGAGCAUUGUUGCCUCAUGGUUGGUUGAAAAUUGAGUCCUUGGUAGGGAGCGCCGUGAUAGAUGGUGGUUGAGUGACGAACGAGACCCAAUCAUGUGAGACCCCUACCGAAUUUGGCCUUCAUGACCCACAUGCGUCUUUGGAACGCUCAUGACGAGACCUCAGGUCAGGCGGGGCUACCCGCUGAGUUUAAGCAUAUCAAUAAGCGGAGGA